GAUGGUGCAGGCGAAAGCGGCCUGUUUUGUGUGGUGUCGUUGCUUCUCAACAACAUGGCCGUGGAACAUGAAGCCAGUGUCCUCAACGCUGUAAGGAAAAUUAAAACCACACGGCGGCUAGCGAUCCCUAAUCAGGAACAAUUUGUGUUCUGCCAUGGCUGCGUAUCGGAGUAUCUUCGUUUGUUCGAAGUGUACGCCAACUUUCAUGAAGAAACUUGAAAAUUUUAACUUGUUGUCCAAACGGCUGAUGAAUGUAAAACUGGAGAUAAAUUUGAAUACAAACAAUGCAUAUAAGUACGUUGUGCAUACCAUUAUACAAGUAUCUACUAGUAUGCAAUUAUUUGCAAGAUGUCAAAUGUAAAUAAAAUUGAAUUUAAUCCAAUAUUGUACAUGUAUUAAUGAAAUCGGAAUGGAUUUUUUUAUCAACAAUAUUUAUUCUCUGACGUUUAAAACAGCCUGUAUGUAGGUGUAUGAUGUGUAUCUUUGUAAGUGUGUUUUAUGUGGCAACAUAAACAGAUAAUUCCUAAGACAGAAACUUUGUAAGAAUAUUCAGUGAUAUUUUAUCUUCAUAAUGUUGUUUUCCUACUGUACUCUAUUUCCUAUUACACAAUCGAGUGCUGAUGGCGUUCUUUAUUAUAUAAACAGAAUGUAAGCAGUAAACUGUGGACAUUUACAUAGCAUAUAGCUUAAAUGCAGCUGUUGAUAGCUGUCAUCAACAUAAACCUUCUAUUACGUAUGUGUCUAUAUACAUAUUUUGACAUAAAAUUAAGAGUAAAUAUUAAAUACAAAUAUGUCAUAACAAAUUGGUAUUAUUUAGAUAUAUCCUUGCACAGUUCAUGAACAUGUCAAUUUUACAUAUGCCGACUGCAGAAUUGUUCUUUUAGAUUUAUACAUUGUCAUGUUUUCAUAUCUAUAGUGUGCAUUCUUUAUCUCAAAUUGCGAAUGGAAUUUCACCAAUAGUCUGAGUUUUAAUUCAUAAAUUAAAUUAUAUUGUUGUAUAUAUACAUGCACAUUGUUUCUUCUAAUAUCUCCUUAGAUUAUAGAGUUAAUGAUAUAAACUUGUUUUGUAAUGUUUUAUACACAAUCGGGUCAUCUCGUCAAUGAGCUUACGUUCAAAUUUCUUAAAAUCAUAACUUUCAGUAAGACGUUUAGAAAAGAAUAAUCGAGUUGAAAAUCUUUAAUUAACAUUGUUAAAAGGAUUACAUUUUUUUGGACAAUAAUUCGUCGUUAUUCUUAUUGCACAGAAAGGACGAUGGAGUUGGUAUGUUUUGUACAGCCAUCAGUUAAUGGUAAUAAAUUAUAAAUGUUGACAAUAAAUUUUGUACAUAUAUUUUAUCUUAUUCCAUGACUGAAUAAAAUACUCAGUUUACAGAUACUCGA